rnacentral:rRNA from 1 species
GUCCUUUUGAGUAUAUUUAAGGUCUGACCUGCCCGGUGAUUUAUUUUAACGGCCGCGGUAUAUUGACCGUGCAAAGGUAGCAUAAUCAUUAGUCUUUUAAAAGAGGGCUGGAAUGAAAGGUUUGACGAGGUAUUGACUGUCUCAUUUUAUUUGGAUUUAGAAUUUAACUUUUUAGUCAAAAGGCUUAAAUUUAAUUGGAAGACGAGAAGACCCUAUAGAGCUUUAUAUUAAUUAUUUUAAUUAUGAAUAUAUAAUUUUUAAUUAGAUGAAUUAUUAUUUUGUUGGGGUGACAGAAAAAUAGAACUAACUUUUUUAUUUAUUUAACAUUAAUUUAUGGUUAUUUGAUCCAUUAUUAUUGAUUAUUAGAUUAAGUUACCUUAGGGAUAACAGCGUAAUCCCCUCCCAGAGUUCAUAUUUACGAGUGGGGCUUGCGACCUCGAUGUUGGAUUAAGAUAAUAAUUAGGUGUAGCCGCUUAAUUUAUAGGUCUGUUCGACCUUUAAAUUCUU